UGCUAAUCAGGAGAUGCAAAUGAUCAUAAAUGACUAGCUUCUUGUACUUUACUUUAAUAUUGUGCUAAUGUUAUUUUUUUCUGACUGGAUUUUUUGACAUGUAACUUUACCCUGGUAUAGUUUUCACUCAUUUACUUGAUUUUACUUUUACCAGGGAGAUCUUCUGAGGUUAGAGGAAUUGGUAAAUGUAGCACCGAUGCUUCCAUGGAGGCACCCAUCACUCCAUCCGUCAAAGUAGAUUAUACUCAGCUUCUAAUUAAUGGACAAUUUGUAGAUUCUACAUCAACAUUGGAGUAAUCAGCAUGUUUUCAAGCAUUCAUAUCAUUUUCGGGUUCCUUCGCGUGACGCUUUGAUCAGGGAAAACUUUUCUCACAUUGGACACCCAGACUGGGGACGUGAUUGCUCACGCUGCUGAAGGCGAUGCUGAAGAUGUAAACCGCGCAGUUUCUGCUGCCCGCAAGGCCUUGGUGAAGGACCGUGGCCAAAGAUGACAGCUUACUGUAACUUUUACUUGUUCUAUGACAGUAUAUGGUUACGAGAGUAAUAGUAAUUGGGCUACUAGUGUUCUAGUUUUCACCAAUUUUUCAUAUGAAUGCAUUUUUUCUGCUAAAAAGUAUCGUUGAUCCCUCCACAGGUUGCGUUUACUGGAUCAACUGACACUGGUAAAAAAAAUACUUGAAUUGGCUGCCAAAAGCAAUCUUAAGACAGUAACUGGAGCUUGGCGGGAGAUCCCAUAUUAUUGGUCAAUGCUGCUGCGAUGGUUCUCGUACUUUUGUAGAUGAAAAAGUAUAUGACGAGUUCAUAGAGAAAGCAAAGGCUCAUGCUGAGAGACGCGUUGUUGGAGACCCGUCCAAGGGGGGCGUUGAGCAAGGUCCUCAGACCAAUUCGAGAAGAUCCCAAAGUACAUAGAUUAUGGUGUUAAAGGUGGAGCUAAAAUGGAACCGGAGGAGAGAGGCUUGGCACAAAGGGUAACUAUAUUAAGCCCACUGUAUUAUCAGAUGUUCAGGUACUAAUCAACAUAAAAACCAUAAUAUUUACCAAGAAGCCGGAACAUGAUUACGAUUGAUCUAAACAUUAUUGUCUCGUGGGGUUGGAUGACAUGCCAAUAGCUCGUGAGUAGAUAUUUGGUUUGGUGCAUACCAUCUUGAAGUACAAGGAUCUUAAUGAGGUGAUACGAAAGGGAAAAUAACUCUCACUAUGGAAAAUAACUCUCGUUAUGGACUUGCUGCAGGGAUCUUUACACAAAACAUAGACACUGAAACAUACUGACUCGCGCAGUGCGUUGGCAGUGUAUUUAUAAACUGCUUCUAUGUCGUUGAUGCUCUAUUCAUUUCGGAGGGUACAAGAUGAGUGGAAUCGGAAGAGAAAAGGGCAUUUACGGUCUUUCCAAUUACUUGCAAGUCAAGGCUGUUGUCACCCCCUGACGAAUCCUGCAUGGCUAUGAACUUCACAAGCUUUUUUUGUCACUGCCAAAAAUAAAUUGAGAGUACUGCAUCAGAAUAUGUGGCUGUGAUCUCAUGAUGGCAUUGGGGUGGUGACAAAAAAUAUUUGCUUCUUUGUGAAGAACUAUUAAUGUUUCUGUUGAAUUAACUGUUGGUUAAGUUAAUCAGUAGGUUUGUGGUUGGUCUAAUAUGACAAUCAACUUUCUAUGGUUUGUUGAGGCAUCACUUUCUCCUUUUCCAAUCACAUUU